GACCUCCGAUCAAGCAAGAGGACCCGCUGAAUUAAGCAUAUAACUAAGCGGAGGAAAGAAACUAACCAGGAUUCCCCA
rnacentral:rRNA from 1 species